UGAUAUCAGUUUUGUUGACAGGGGACU
rnacentral:sRNA from 1 species